AUUGAACGCUGGCGGCAGGCCUAACACAUGCAAGUCGAGCGGUAACAGGACUAGCUUGCUAGUUGCUGACAAGCGGCGGACGGGUGCGUAACACGUAGGAAUCUACCCAGUAGCGGGGGAUAGCCCGGAGAAAUCCGGAUUAAUACCGCAUACGCCCUACGGGGGAAAGCAGGGGAUCUUCGGACCUUGCACUAUUGGAUGAGCCUGCGUCGGAUUAUCUUGUUGGUGAGGUAAAGGCUCACCAAGGGGACGAUCCGUACCUGGUCUGAGAGGAUGAUCAGCCACACUGGGACUGGGACACGGCCCAGACUCCUACGGGAGGCAGCAUUGGGGAAUAUUGCACAAUGGGCGAAAGCCUGAUGCACCCAUGCCGCGUGUGUGAAGAAGGCUCUAGGGUUGUAAAGCACUUUCAGCGAGGAGGAAAGGUUGAUGAUUAAUACUCAUUAACUGUGACGUUACUCGCAUAACAGGCACCGGCUAACUCCGUGCCAGCAGCCGCGGUAAUACGGAGGGUGCAAGCGUUAAUCGGAAUUACUGGGCGUAAAGCGUGCGUACGCGGCUUGCUAAGUUGGAUGUGAAAGCCCCGGGCUCAACCUGGGA
rnacentral:rRNA from 1 species